rnacentral:rRNA from 1 species
AUGAAAUAACAACUGGUACCGUAUAGAAGGGGCCAUAAACUAGAGAGUCUUGACCAAUUCGAAAGAUCAUUUGGUGUAGUUGAAAUAACAGAAUUGGAACUUGUUUGGUCAAGUAAGGGAAACUCAAUCAAAUUCAUAACUGUCUCAAUAGAAUAUUUUCCUUCUUUUUUUUUGUCUAAAUAUUCAGUUAAGACCAUUCCAAGGCUCCUUUUCGCCAUGCAUAAACUAAACCAACAACUAAGAUAAGCAUGAAAAUCAAAGCUUCGAUAAAAACGGAUACACCCAAUACGUCGAAACUCAUUGCCCAAGGGUAUAGAAAGACGAUUUCCACAUCAAAAACAACAAAAACGAGCGCAAACAUAUAAUAGCGUAUUCGGAAUUGUACCCAAGCCCCUCCCAUGGGUUCUAUACCCGAUUCAUAACUAGAAAGCUUCUCUGGUCCUUCACUAACCGGGGCUAAAAGUCCUGAAAUCGAAAAUGCCAAAAUAGGAAUAAGGCUUGCUAUUAUUAGAAAUGUCCAAAAAAUAUCAUAUUCAUGAAGCAGAAACAU